UUCCAGACUCCUACGGGAGGCAGCAGUGGGGGAUAUUGCACAAUGGGGGCAACCCUGAUGCAGCGACGCCGCGUGAGCGAUGGAGUACUUCGGUAUGUAAAGCUCUGUCAGCAGGGAAGAGAAUGACGGUACCUGACUAAGAAGCCCCGGCUAACUACGUGCCAGCAGCCGCGGUAAUACGUAGGGGGCAAGCGUUAUCCGGAUUCACUGGGUGUAAAGGGAGCGUAGACGGCGACGCAAGUCUGGAGUGAAAGCCCGGGGCCCAACCCCGGGACUGCUCUGGAAACUGCGUCGCUGGAGUACGGGAGGGGCAGGCGGAAUUCCUGGUGUAGCGGUGAAAUGCGUAGAUAUCAGGAGGAACACCGGCGGCGAAGGCGGCCUGCUGGACCGUGACUGACGUUGAGGCUCGAGAGCGUGGGGAGCAAACAGGAUUAGAUACCCCCGUA
rnacentral:rRNA from 1 species